rnacentral:rRNA from 1 species
UUAAGCGACUAAGCGUACACGGUGGAUGCCCUGGCAGUCAGAGGCGAUGAAGGGCGUGCUAAUCUGCGAUAAGCGCCGGUAAGGUGAUAUGAACCGUUAUAACCGGCGAUACCCGAAUGGGGAAACCCAGUGUGAUUCGUCACACUAUCAUUAACUGAAUCCAUAGGUUAAUGAGGCGAACCGGGGGAACUGAAACAUCUAAGUACCCCGAGGAAAAGAAAUCAACCGAGAUUCCCCCAGUAGCGGCGAGCGAACGGGGAGGAGCCCAGAGCCUGAAUCAGCAUGUGUGUUAGUGGAAGCGUCUGGAAAGGCGCGCGAUACAGGGUGACAGCCCCGUACACAAAAGCGCAUGUGCUGUGAGCUCGAUGAGUAGGGCGGGACACGUGGUAUCCUGUCUGAAUAUGGGGGGACCAUCCUCCAAGGCUAAAUACUCCUGACUGACCGAUAGUGAACCAGUACCGUGAGGGAAAGGCGAAAAGAACCCCGGCGAGGGGAGUGAAAAAGAACCUGAAACCGUGUACGUACAAGCAGUGGGAGCCCCACCACCAAAGCAUUCUCUGGUGUUGAAGGCCCUGCAAAGCAGCAUCGCGGUGGCGGAGCGUCGUUUGCGACGCCCAACACACAAAACAAGCGGUGAAUGCUUUGGGGUGGGGUGACUGCGUACCUUUUGUAUAAUGGGUCAGCGACUUAUAUUCUGUAGCAAGGUUAACCGAAUAGGGGAGCCGGAGGGAAACCGAGUCUUAAUUGGGCGUUAAGUUGCAGGGUAUAGACCCGAAACCCGGUGAUCUAGCCAUGGGCAGGUUGAAGGUUGGGUAACACUAACUGGAGGACCGAACCGACUAAUGUUGAAAAAUUAGCGGAUGACCUGUGGCUGGGGGUGAAAGGCCAAUCAAACCGGGAGAUAGCUGGUUCUCCCCGAAAGCUAUUUAGGUAGCGCCUCGUGAAUUCAUCUCCGGGGGUAGAGCACUGUUUCGGCUAGGGGGCCAUCCCGGCUUACCAACCCGAUGCAAACUGCGAAUACCGGAGAAUGUUAUCACGGGAGACACACGGCGGGUGCUAACGUCCGUCGUGAAGAGGGAAACAACCCAGACCGCCAGCUAAGGUCCCAAAGUCAUGGUUAAGUGGGAAACGAUGUGGGAAGGCCCAGACAGCCAGGAUGUUGGCUUAGAAGCAGCCAUCAUUUAAAGAAAGCGUAAUAGCUCACUGGUCGAGUCGGCCUGCGCGGAAGAUGUAACGGGGCUAAACCAUGCACCGAAGCUGCGGCAGCGAACGUAUCACCCAAGACAACUUUACGGAGUUGACGAUUGACGGAGCGAAGCGACGUCAAAGCGUUCAUUAAAGUCGAGUUGGCUUAGGGAUACGUUCGUUGGGUAGGGGAGCGUUCUGUAAGCCUGUGAAGGUGUGUCGUGAGGCAUGCUGGAGGUAUCAGAAGUGCGAAUGCUGACAUAAGUAACGAUAAAGCGGGUGAAAAGCCCGCUCGCCGGAAGACCAAGGGUUCCUGUCCAACGUUAAUCGGGGCAGGGUGAGUCGACCCCUAAGGCGAGGCCGAAAGGCGUAGUCGAUGGGAAACGGGUUAAUAUUCCCGUACUUGGUGUUACUGCGAAGGGGGGACGGAGAAGGCUAUGUUGGCCGGGCGACGGUUGUCCCGGUUUAAGCGUGUAGGUGUGUGUUCCAGGUAAAUCCGGUUCACUUUAACACUGAGGCGUGAUGACGAGGCACUACGGUGCUGAAGCAACAAAUGCCCUGCUUCCAGGAAAAGCCUCUAAGCAUCAGGUAACAUCAAAUCGUACCCCAAACCGACACAGGUGGUCAGGUAGAGAAUACCAAGGCGCUUGAGAGAACUCGGGUGAAGGAACUAGGCAAAAUGGUGCCGUAACUUCGGGAGAAGGCACGCUGACACGUAGGUGAAGUGAUUUACUCACGGAGCUGAAGUCAGUCGAAGAUACCAGCUGGCUGCAACUGUUUAUUAAAAACACAGCACUGUGCAAACACGAAAGUGGACGUAUACGGUGUGACGCCUGCCCGGUGCCGGAAGGUUAAUUGAUGGGGUCAGCGCAAGCGAAGCUCCUGAUCGAAGCCCCGGUAAACGGCGGCCGUAACUAUAACGGUCCUAAGGUAGCGAAAUUCCUUGUCGGGUAAGUUCCGACCUGCACGAAUGGCGUAAUGAUGGCCAGGCUGUCUCCACCCGAGACUCAGUGAAAUUGAACUCGCUGUGAAGAUGCAGUGUACCCGCGGCAAGACGGAAAGACCCCGUGAACCUUUACUAUAGCUUGACACUGAACAUUGAGCCUUGAUGUGUAGGAUAGGUGGGAGGCUUUGAAGUGUGGACGCCAGUCUGCAUGGAGCCGACCUUGAAAUACCACCCUUUAAUGUUUGAUGUUCUAACGUGGACCCGUAAUCCGGGUUGCGGACAGUGUCUGGUGGGUAGUUUGACUGGGGCGGUCUCCUCCUAAAGAGUAACGGAGGAGCACGAAGGUUGGCUAAUCCUGGUCGGACAUCAGGAGGUUAGUGCAAUGGCAUAAGCCAGCUUGACUGCGAGCGUGACGGCGCGAGCAGGUGCGAAAGCAGGUCAUAGUGAUCCGGUGGUUCUGAAUGGAAGGGCCAUCGCUCAACGGAUAAAAGGUACUCCGGGGAUAACAGGCUGAUACCGCCCAAGAGUUCAUAUCGACGGCGGUGUUUGGCACCUCGAUGUCGGCUCAUCACAUCCUGGGGCUGAAGUAGGUCCCAAGGGUAUGGCUGUUCGCCAUUUAAAGUGGUACGCGAGCUGGGUUUAGAACGUCGUGAGACAGUUCGGUCCCUAUCUGCCGUGGGCGCUGGAGAACUGAGGGGGGCUGCUCCUAGUACGAGAGGACCGGAGUGGACGCAUCACUGGUGUUCGGGUUGUCAUGCCAAUGGCACUGCCCGGUAGCUAAAUGCGGAAGAGAUAAGUGCUGAAAGCAUCUAAGCACGAAACUUGCCCCGAGAUGAGUUCUCCCUGAGACUUUAGGUCUCCUGAAGGAACGUUGAAGACGACGACGUUGAUAGGCCGGGUGUGUAAGCGCAGCGAUGCGUUGAGCUAACCGGUACUAAUGAACCGUGAGGCUUAACCUU